rnacentral:rRNA from 1 species
CUCUAUGGCCAUGCCACCCUGAACAUGCCCGAUCUCGUCUGAUCUCGGAAGCUAAGCAGGGUCAGGCCUGGUUAGUACUUGGAUGGGAGACCACCUAGGAAUAUCAGGUGCUGUAGGCG